rnacentral:rRNA from 1 species
GUGCCAGCCGCCGCGGUAAGACAGAGGGUGCAAACGUUGCUCGGAAUUACUGGGCGUAAAGCGCGUGUAGGCGGUUUCGCAAGUCAGGUGUGAAAGCCCGGGGCUCAACCCCGGAAGUGCACAUGAUACUACGGAGCUGGAGUACUGAAGAGGAGAGCGGAAUUCCCGGUGUAGAGGUGAAAUUCGUAGAUAUCGGGAGGAACACCAGUGGCGAAGGCGGCUCUCUGGGCAGAUACUGACGCUGAGACGCGAAAGCAUGGGGAGCAAACAGGAUUAGAAACCCGCGUAGUCC